GAGGGACCCAAGGCGGCCCGUUUCCAUCGGUCAGACACCAGGAGGGCUGUGUCGGCCGCCGUCUGCCUGCGACCUCAUUGCUUCGUCUGAGCAGCUCUGUGAAUGAAUCACCACCAAGAAUACACAGAGAGGCCUCAUGGCUUUCUGAGGGUCACACAGCUGACACGAGAGGUCCCUGGGGUGCACGCGAGCUUCACCCUAAUGUUACAGGAUGACCAGCAUGGUCUCAAAGCACUCAAACUCCCAAUUGGUCCGGAUCCAAACCCUCGCUCCGUCUCUCAGGCAGCGCUGCUGUGGGCAGUCCCCUCGCCUCUCAGGACUCUGAGCCUCACAGGUAAACGGUCAUAACGUGCCCUGUCUGUGCUCGGCACCGAGGGGGUUCA
rnacentral:lncRNA from 1 species